UGAGGGAUAUUGGUCAAUGGGCGCAAGCCUGAACCAGCGACGCCGCGUGGGUGAAGAAGGUCUUCGGAUCGUAAAGCCCUUUUCCCACUGAAGAGGAAGGACGGUAAGUGGGGAAGAAGUCUCGGCUAACUACGUGCCAGCAGCCGCGGUAAAACGUAGGAGACAAGCGUUAUCCGGAGUUACUGGGCGUAAAGGGCGUGCAGGUGGCGUCUUAAGUCUGUUGUGAAAGCGCCUGGCUUAACCGGGCGAGGCCAAUGGAGACUGAGAGGCUGGAGGACGGCGGAGGGGUGUGGAACUCCAGGUGUAGUGGUGAAAUGCGUAGAGAUCCGGAGGAACACCAGAGGCGAAGGCGGCACUCUAAGCCGUACCUGACACUGAGACGCGACAGCACGGGGAGCAAACG
rnacentral:rRNA from 1 species